ACUCCUACGGGAGGCAGCAGUGGGGAAUAUUGCACAAUGGGGGAAACCCUGAUGCAGCCAUGCCGCGUGUGUGAAGAAGGCCUUGGGUUGUAAAGCACUUUCAGUAGGGAGGAAGGUAGUGUAGUUAACACCUGCAUUAUUUGUACGUUACCUACAGAAGAAGCACCGGCUAACUCCGUGCCAGCAGCCGCGGUAAUACGGAGGGUGCGAGCGUUAAUCGGAAUUACGUGGGCGUAAAGCGCAUGCAGGCGGCCUGUUAAGUCAGAUGUGAAAGCCCGGGGCUUAACCGUCGGAAUUGCAUUUGAAACUGGCAGGCUAGAGUCUUGUAGAGGGGGUUAGGAAUUUCGAGGUGUAGCGGUGAAAUGCGUAGAGAUC
rnacentral:rRNA from 1 species